AUGUACAUCCCUACAACAUAGAAUUAAUGCAUCAGAUCCCAUUAGAACUUCGUAGUUAAGCGCGCUUAGGCUAGAGUAGUACUAGGAUGGGUGAUCACCUAGGAAGUUCUAGUGUUUUACAUG
rnacentral:rRNA from 1 species